AGCCAGCUAACACCAAAUCUCAAAACCCCACUUCAUGGACCUGCUUAAUUACAGUACGCUGCUUCUUCAUUCAUUCACUCGAUUCAGAAUAUAACAAUCAUGUCUCUUACAACUUUGUUGUUUAGUUCAGUGGUGAGGCUUGUGACGUCUUUAGUUGUUGAGCCAGCCACUUCAGUCUCAACCGUGCUAUACUAUAGUGGUCUUUUGCCUCACAAUAUGAUUUUGCUCAGAAUGGUUCGGCCACAGUUGCUUGAUCAAGAAAACUACCUCUUCCAUCUUCUCAUUACCUUUAUGAGUUGUUGUUGGUGAACACGAUAUAUGUAUAUGGGGCAAUUUUUUCAUAGUUUUCGAUCUCCAUUUUUUGUGGGUUACGAAGAGAGAGUGUUGUUUUGGGAAGGAAAAGUGUCGUAGAGAGAAAUGAACUAUGAAAAUGACUUUUGAUGUUUUGCAAUAUUCUACAAUUCAAGCACACUUAAUUGUAGAAUUCUUAUAAGAUAAGUUAUCGAAAAAUA